GUAGGUGGCAAGCGUUGUCCGGAAUUAUUGGGCGUAAAGCGCGCGCAGGCGGUCCUUUAAGUCUGAUGUGAAAGCCCACGGCUCAACCGUGGAGGGUCAUUGGAAACUGGGGGACUUGAGUACAGAAGAGGAAAGCGGAAUUCCAAGUGUAGCGGUGAAAUGCGUAGAGAUUUGGAGGAACACCAGUGGCGAAGGCGGCUUUCUGGUCCGUAACUGACGCUGAGGCGCGAAAGCGUGGGGAGCAAACAGGAUUAGAUACCCUGGUAGUCCACGCCGUAAACGAUGAGUGCUAAGUGUUAGGGGGUUUCCGCCCCUUAGUGCUGCAGCUAACGCAUUAAGCACUCCGCCUGGGGAGUACGGCCGCAAAGGCUG
rnacentral:rRNA from 1 species